rnacentral:rRNA from 1 species
UACGGAGGAUCCAAGCGUUAUCCGGAUUUAUUGGGUUUAAAGGGUGCGUAGGCGGCUUUUUAAGUCAGGGUGAAAGACGGUGGCUCAACCAUCGCAGUGCCUUUGAUACUGAAAAGCUUGAAUAGACCUGAGGUAGGCGGAAUGUGACAAGUAGCGGUGAAAUGCAUAGAUAUGUCACAGAACACCAAUUGCGAAGGCAGCUUACUAAAGUCUAAUUGACGCUGAGGCACGAAAGCGUGGGGAUCAAACAGG